GAAUAUUGGACAAUGGGGGGAACCCUGAUCCAGCCAUGCCGCGUGUGUGAAGAAGGCCUUUUGGUUGUAGACCACUUUACGCGAGGAGGUGGCUACCCUCGACACUACCUAGGGAUAGUGGACGUGACGCGCAGAAUAAGCGUCGGCCAACUCGGUGCCAGCAGCCGCGGUAAUACAGGAGGUGCAAGCGGUAAUCGGAUUUACUGGGCGUAAAGCGCGCGUAGGUGGCCAAUUAAGUCAAAUGUGAAAUCCCCGAGCUUAACUUGGGAAUUGCAUUCGAUACUGGUUGGCUAGAGUAUGGGAGAGGAUGGUAGAAUUCCAGGUGUAGCGGUGAAAUGCGUAGAGAUCUGGAGGAAUACCGAUGGCGAAGGCAGCCAUCUGGCCUAAUACUGACACUGAGGUGCGAAAGCAUGGGGAGCAAACA
rnacentral:rRNA from 1 species